rnacentral:snRNA from 1 species
ACACUCUGGUUUCCCUUCAAUACGCAUAAAUCUUUCGCCUUUUACCAAAGAUUUCCGCGGAGGGGAACAUAUGAUGAGUCUUUAAAUAAUAAUAAUUAUUAUUAUUAU